rnacentral:rRNA from 1 species
CCUACGGGAGGCAGCAGUAAGGAAUAUUGGUCAAUGGAGGCAACUCUGAACCAGCCAUGCCGCGUGCAGGAAGACAGCCCUCUGGGUCGUAAACUGCUUUUAUUCGGGAAUAAACCUUAUUACGUGUAAUAAGCUGAAUGUACCGAAGGAAUAAGGAUCGGCUAACUCCGUGCCAGCAGCCGCGGUAAUACGGAGGAUCCAAGCGUUAUCCGGAUUUAUUGGGUUUAAAGGGUGCGUAGGCGGCUUAUUAAGUCAGGGGUGAAAGACGGUGGCUCAACCAUCGCAGUGCCUUUGAUACUGAUGAGCUUGAAUGAACUAGAGGUAGGCGGAAUGUGACAAGUAGCGGUGAAAUGCAUAGAUAUGUCACAGAACACCGAUUGCGAAGGCAGCUUACUAUGGUUUUAUUGACGCUGAGGCACGAAAGCGUGGGGAUCAAACAGGAUUAGAUACCCUGGUAGUCCACGCCCUAAACGAUGAAUACUCGCUGUUAGCGAUAUACAGUUAGCGGCUAAGCGAAAGCGUUAAGUAUUCCACCUGGGGAGUACGCCCGCAAGGGCGAAACGUCAAAGGAAUUGACGG